rnacentral:rRNA from 1 species
ACUACGGGAGGCAGCCGUGGGGGAUAUUGCACAAGGGGGGAAACCCUGAUGCAGCGACGCCGCGUGGGUGAAGAAGCGCCUCGGCGCGUAAAGCCCUGUCAGCAGGGAAGAAAAUGACGGUACCUGAAGAAGAAGCCCCGGCUAACUACGUGCCAGCAGCCGCGGUAAUACGUGGGGGGCAAGCGUUAUCCGGAUUUACUGGGUGUAAAGGGGUCGCAGACGGCGGUGCAAGCCAGGAGUGAACGCCACGGGCCCAACCCCGGGACUGCCCUUGGAACUGCGUGGCUAGAGUGCAGGAGGGGCAGGCGGAAUUCCUGGUGUAGCGGUGAAAUGCGUAGAUAUCAGGAGGAACACCGGUGGCGAAGGCGGCCUGCUGGACUGCAACUGACGUUGAGGCCCGAAAGCGUGGGGAGCAAACAGGAUUAGAUACCCCGGUAGUC